rnacentral:lncRNA from 1 species
GUAUAAUUAAAAAAUAAAAAUAAAAGUUUUUAAUUUACGUGUAAUAUUAUUUUAAUGAAAAAUGAGUGGUUAAAAUAGGUCAAAUCACUCUUGAAAAAUGUAUUUUAAUGAAAAUAACGGGGCUCAAACAAGAGUUAUAUCUUCUCAAGAGAUCUUUCGUACAAGAUUUGUUCAUGAGUAAUUGAUGUGACAAUUCACCGCAACAACACUUCAAGGUCAGAUCUAGAUUUUAGUGUGACAACUUUUCAGAGACGUAAAAAUGCCCAUAAAUGCGACCAGCCUAAAGAUGGAACAAUUGACAGGAGCUCUAGUUGUAAUAAUGUACAAACUACAACUCUCAUAUGCUUAUUUAGGGGUAUUUUAUAGUCAUGUUUACGUAAAAAUAUAUUUUAGAAUAGUAAAUUGAUGUGAAAUAUGUGGUUAAAAAAUAAGAAUUUUUUUUAUUUACGUGCAAUAUUAUUUUAAUAAAGAAUGCGUUGUUGAAAAGAAGAGAUAGAAAAAUACAUUUUAAAAAAAUGGCUACCAAACGGGCCUUAGAUGGAUUUUUCUAAGGAAAAAAUUCACAAACCAUGUUUUAAGUAUGCACACUUCAAGAUUAAGGUGGUUAAGUUUAAUUAUGCAAAAAUCAGGUUUUUAUCUAAUUAAUUAAAAAUAUUUAAUAAUUAAAUAUAAUAAAAGUCACAAUUACACAAUUAAUGGUCACAGAUCUCCAAUUAUAGGUCACAUAUUUAUUUACUGAUCACAUAUCAUCAAAUUAAUUGGUCACAAAUAUUUUCGUGGUCACAGAUUUUUUCGUGGUCACAAAUCAAAAAAAUUUGUUGGUCACAGAUUAUUUUGAGGCCGCAAAUCAAAAUUUUUAUAGGUCACAGUUCUCAUCAUUGGUCGCAGAUGAAAAAUUAUAGGUCAUAGAUUAUAUAUUAGUCACAUAUUUUCGAAUUUGUUAGCCACAAUUAUCAAAUUUUAAGGUCACAUUGGUCACAUGUCAAACGGUGGAUCACAUACCACCACCACAUCCUCCGUCACCAUCACCCUCACCCUUACCUUGUCACUAUCCUCGCCGCCACCAAACCACGACGACAUCACCACCAACAAAAUCAUCACCACCAGAUCUAGUCAACUCUACCAGUUCUCCAGCCACCAAACACCACCUCCACCGCUACCAAAAACCACCCGAUCGCCACCACCAAACACAAUAAUAAUACCCAAAGCACAAUCUCACCACCAUUUCCACCCAAAUCGCCACUGCCAACAACCAUCGUCAAUAACACCACCACCACACAUAGCCACCAUUAGGGGCACCACCUCUGCAAAACACAAAACGGAAAAAAUUUUAAUGACUUGUUGCCUAACCACACCAUCUGCAACCAACACCGCCCGCAAGAUCACCACCUUGCCCCCACUUGCAUAAUCAUACCAUCUGCGACUACUAAUCAUGACCAACAAUCCACACACACCACCAAAACCACUGCCUAUCUAACAACCCCUAACACGAUAGUCGAAUCCAUCCCUAUGCCACUACUGCCACAAACAAAAACCAUACGACAAACAAAAAUAAGUAGUCGCCGGAGUGAGUGAGUGAGAUCUAAAUCUACCAAUGAUGAGAUCGAAAAACUCGACUGGAGAUCGAAGAGAGGUGCUACAGAGCCAUUGAUUGAGGUUGCUUCAGAGGAGUAGAGGGAGAGAAAAAAAAACAUAAUCGCCGCAUGUAAGGCCCGUAAGGUUGACUCAAUGCGUCGCCACCGCCGUCGCCGUGUUUUGUGAUGAAAAAAGUGAGAGAACAAGGAGAGAUAGAGAAGACGGUAGAGAGAGAAAUAUGAGGAAAAAUAUUAGGGAUUGUAAAUUGAAUUGGGUAAAAUUAAUAUUUAAAUUAUUAAAUCAAUACCUGAAUUUUGCAUAAUGAAACUUCAAUCAUGAUUUUUGAAUUGUGAUGUUUAAACCCCUGCUAUUGUGUAAUUUCCUCUUUUUCUAAACGGACAGGCUCUAAUCUGCUUAUUUAGAUGGGAGCAGAUCUCUAUUUAGAUAGCUAAGUCUGACAUUUGAUGGUUUCAGAAAUUUUGAUUUUGGUUACGUAAGAAGCAUUCAACCGGUCGAUCCUUUGUAGCUUCAUUCGUUCUGCAGGAAUGAAAUUAGAACCAGUUGACUCAGUAAGUAUUUUCCUUCACCCCUGUAGGCAAAUUUAAGUUGUAAGCAUACUUUUUGUAUUGGAAGUAGUGUAUUUAUAUUGGAAACUCUUGCUUCAUCCCAUUUAGCCCAUUUUGACAACUUUUAAAAAUUUAAAUUGUUUAUUAUAGUAUCAUUUUUCAUCGCACAUUUAUACAAUAAAAUAUUCUACACAUAAGUCAAUAAAGUUCUCUUACUUUUUAACCAUACACUAUCUAAAAAUAUUAUUCAAAACUCUUUAAAUUUUCACAUAAUGGACGUCAAACAAGGCCUUAAAUAGCUUUGUUAACAAGAACGGACAAAGUUCAAAUGCAGGAGGAGGAUGGUACCUUAUGUGGUCAUACUUAAGGGGGUGUAUUCGAUUGAAACUUUUAAAGACUUUGGGAGAUUUAAAAAGUUUCGGUGUAUUCAAUUAAGACUUUUAAAGACUCUCUAAAAGUCUGGGUGUAUUCAAUAGAAAGUCUCUAUAAGUUUCGAGGUAUUCAAUUAAAACUUUUUAGGAGUCUCUACAAGUUUCUGGGUAUUCAAUUGAGAAAGACUUUCAAAGAAUUUAUAAUUUAUUAGACUUUUAGAGACUUUUUGGUAGAAAACAUACAUAGAAUUCUCACAAGAAAAUCUCUCAUCCAUCGAGAGAUUUCUCGUAGAAGCCGGCCUAUUCUUUUUGCUUAUAGGGUUUUCUCCUCCAUCUCUUUCAAUCAGGUAAUAAUCGAGCUUUGUACAUCUCUAUCUCUCCCUCUAUGAGUUUUUUGUUUGAUUUAUGGAUAAACCAAUCUCCAAAAUUGCAAAGUUGAAGAAGAUGAUUUUGGAGAGUUUUUAAUUUUUGAACCAAUUCAAUAUACCCAUAGAAAAACAUGAAUUCUUUCCGAAUUUUCAGUGGUUGGCCUGAAAUGUAACACCCUCCGCCCUUAAUACCCUAACCAGAAUUUGGACUCGUAUUUCUCCCAUGCCUACCUAGGUUAUUCCACGAAUUCUAUUCUAAUCCCUUGAAACCACCCAUUCACACUGGUGUUGAUAAAAAUAGUGCAUUAGUUCAGCCGUACCCACCUAGGGUUGAUCCCCCAUUUUUUGAGAGUCAAAAACAAGAAAGAGAGAAUCCUAAUGCAUAGAUAGGGAUGGUAAUUUGAACUGUUACAAUCGAAAAUCGCGAUUAAUCGAAUCAAAUGGGGUGGAAAAAAAUCGAAUCGAUGGUGCAAUGGGAUAGACAUGGUAUUUGAUUUUAAUGAACCGGUUCGUGGUGGUGCGGGUAUGAUAUUUAUUCCGUCGAACCGAAAUUGAACCGAUUACCCGCUUAAAAAAAUCAUUUUUUUAUUAGGAAUGACAAGAUUUAGUAAAAAGGAAGUUGACGAAGUACAUUUUUUUUUAUUUAAAUCUUAGUUAAAAGCAUUAUGGAUUAGGUAAUAUCGUUAUAUUCUCUACUUACAUUUUUUAUUUACUAUAUAGGAAUCAAUUUUGAAUGCAGAUCUAUGCUAGUAAGAGUUGUGGGGAAGAAUGAAGAUUGAAUAUGAGUUAAGGUUGAAGUUUUUAAAUUAUUGAGCAUGAAUCAAGUAACUAAAAUGCACAAGAAUCAAGAAUGAAGGAAAAGUUUAAUAUUGUUAUAUUCGUAGUAUUUUUCGUUAAAUUUGUAUUUUGCCAUUAGAAUUUGGGAUAAUAUUUGCAUUUUUGUUUGGAAUAUUGUGUUUUGUUUUCAUUGACUCUCUUUUCAUAAAUUGUUUUAUAUCAAUUUGAUGGAUGUAUCUAUAAAAAAUAAUUUAUUUUCGUGGUUAUUAACCGAACCGAACCGAGCCAAUUUACGUGUUUAUGGUAUGACAAAAAAUUUGAUGGGUCGGUGAUGAUUUUGGUUGAACCGAACCGAAACCGAACCAUUGCCAUCCCUAUGCAUGGAGGGCUUCUCUAGCAGCGGACAUGUGGAAUGAUGUUGGAAAUGUUUGAUAUAUAUAUUUUGAUCAUUACUAAAAUACUAUUUUUUUAAUAUUUUUAAUAUUUGUUAAUCUACUUGGUAUAAGAUGAAAAAGUAUUUUAUGUUUGGCGAAAACCCUUUUUUUUUUUUUUGGAAAAAAUUGACAUGAAAAAUACGAUUUAUUACUUUUUCAAUUAUAUGAGUAGUGGACGAUUUGAAUAUAUAAGAAGUUGUUAAACAUAUUACAUUAUAUAUGUUUAAUAUUUUCUUUUAAAAAAAAUAAAGUCUUCAAAAGUCUUUAAAAGUCUCCACGAAUCCGAGGGAAAACUUUUACUAAUUUCUACUAAAUCCAUAGAAAUUACUUAAAAUUUCAUAAGGUCUACAAAAGUCACCCACUUUAAAAAGUCUCCAAAAGUCUUUAAAAGUCCCAAUUUAAUACACCCCCCUUAAUCACUACUACAUGGAAAAUUCUUGUGUUGUGAUUCUUCAUCUUAUACUUAGGAUCCGUUUGAUUGCAAAGAUGGAAUUUGAGUGGAAAGAAAACGAAUUUCAGGGAAUUAGAUUGCCUUGAAAUUGUUUUAUUGUGAAUUGUCAAUUAUUGUAUUUGAUUGUUAUAAUUUUCCACCUGGAAAAAGUUGAAAUAAAAGUAUUUUUUCGUGUUCGUUUUGUUUUUCAUAGAAAUUGUCAAUUUAAGAAAAAUAUUUUUUAAACAAUUAGGAAUAGAAUUUGUUUCCAUUGCAAAAAAAAAAAAAAGUUUGUCUAGAAAACCAUUUCUCACCAUACGAAUUGGAAUUCCCCAAAAACAAGGAAAAUGGGCGCGUGAUGGGAGGAAAUGGAAAAGAAAUUCCAUGGGAAAAAAAUUGCCAUCAAACAUGGCAAAAGUGAGAAAGUAGAAUUCAUUUUCCAUUUUCCAUGGAAAUCAUGGUGUAUCAAACAUGGCCUUACACUAAAUGGACUGGACCUUCCCAGUUUACGGUAUGGCCAUUUCUGCUUCCCCCCUCCUUAGCCUCAUCGUCUUUUCUGCUCAUCUAGCCGCAACAUCUCGGUGCUUCUUCUUCAUGCACAGUCUCAUUCCAUUUGAUAGAGGAUAAUAAGCCGUGUGAAGCCGUGUGAAAGGGGAAUGGUGGAGAGAGAAAUUGCUGAUUUUGGAUUAUGAGACGUGAUCAACUUACAAUCAACUGGGAAGCGGUCAAAUAAUAAGUUAAAAAUGACUCAACUUGCUCAAGAUUUGGUCAUUGUCAAAAAAUGGUCUGCAUGCAGUUUGAGACUUGAAAUGGGUGUAGGCAUUUGUAGGGAUCAAACGAAAUCACAUCGAGGUUCUUACUUCUUUCGGGCUGGUAUUUGCAAGAGAAAUGAGUUGGGAGGGACGAGAAUUAUGGUCAGUUUUUUCUGUUUCUGGUCAAAUUCUGGUGGAAUGCUCAAUCGACAAGAAGUGUGAUUUUAUCCAUUCCCUCUACAGAUGAUAAGCCUAAGGUGAUAUGAGACUUGUGCUGUUGCUGGAAAAUGAGGUUGUGCACGCUUGGCUGCGGCUGCGGUAGAGUGAUGCUGUUGGAGCAGCCAGUAAGAGUUCAGGUUAUACUGGAUAGAGAUUCUACUUGGAAAAGGUUGCUUUCAUUUUAUAAGAAGUUUAGGCAUAACCAGAGAUGAUAUUCCCAAGAUUUUUGAGGGUUGGCUGUUAUUGUGGAGGGAUGGGAAGAGGGGAUUCUGUGAUGGGAUUAUGGAGUCUGAUUUCCAGGUGGGCCUGUCAUUAACUACCAAUGUAAUGGAUGAAAAUCUUUUCUUUCUUGUGGUGCUCAUGUGGAACACAACACAAGUUGAGAAAGCAGAUAAUUAGCUGUUCCUCUCUUUAACUAAAAGCAAAAAAGAUAUGCAGUCUUAUCCCGAGUGUCCACCAUCUAUGAAUUCUGUUUCUCAGCACCCUGCUUUUCCCACAUUACACCAUACUCGUUUCUGAACAUUGUCUAUUUUAUUCCUCUCUUCUUAUGUUGCAGAGAAAUGCUACAUCAACUUACAACAUAUUGAAUGAAGAAGGCAGAAUCGUAACUUCUUGAAGCCAGGCAAGAUCAAUUGCUGAAUGUAGCUAUCUUUAAAAAGAGACUAACCGGUAUUCUUUUAGUACGUCUCUUUCUCUCGAGCCCGCUUAAGAGUUGGGAUAUGCUACAUUUACAUGUUCGCGUCAUGCUACUGGCUCAAAAACAAUGCUUUUCUAAUUUGUGCAGUAUUUCAGUGUUACGGUAAAAAUGGCAAUGAAAUUUUGGCGGAAAUUUUGGCGGACCGAUCCAAUUUGUAAAUUCGAUCACAGCUGUUAGAUGAGAAAUUUGUUUAAUAAUAUUCAAUGGAAUGCAAUAAUCUCACUUAUUAUUGAAGUCCACGUAUGAUAUAAAUAAAUCAUACAUGGACUUGGAGGACUAUUGUUACGUCUCUUCACACAUGGCUCCAUGUCACCAAGGUUCUCUAGUCCACUUGGCCGACCCACCGAGGCUCUCUAGUCAAUUAUUGGAUUAGCUGACCCACUCGAGUAUUGGAACCACCUCCAGCGAAAUCUCCCACACAAGUGAUGAGGCCCAUUCAUAUCUCUUUUGUCGAAGCAGAGGCAUUGAGGGCGAGGAAGCUCUACAAAAUCCAAAGCCCGUUACAGCAAGUGACGACCCACCCGAAGAAGAUCUUGAACUCAUGAAUGAAAUCUUUUUGAAAUGAUUGAUGGGGCAUUUAUAAUAGUAUAAAUGUCAAGUCUUGUUAAUAAAAUGACUGCUCUAUGUAAGCAUUAAAUGCACCACAAGAUAGCAAGUCCAAAUUGAUGCUUAGGAUUGGAUGCUUCGACUAAAAAGAUAAGGCCACGUGUACUUUCAUCCAAGGGCCACCAUUUCGUUUGUAAUACUAUAAAUACCCCAUCCAUAUAACAU